rnacentral:misc_RNA from 1 species
UCUCGGCUUAUCACCGGCAGUCUCAUUAGAGUGCCCUUUCGUAGCAACUAAUGACAAGGGUUGCGCUCGUUGCGGGACUUAACCCAACGUCUCACGAUACGAGCUGACGACAGCCAUGCAGCACCUGUGCAUGGACUCCGAAGAGGAACCGAUGUUUCCACCGGCUUUCCCAUGCAUGUCAAGCCCAGGUAAGGUUCUUCGCGUUGCUUCGAAUUAAACCACACGCUCCGCUGCUUGUGCGGGCCCCCGUCAAUUCCUUUGAGUUUCAGUCUUGCGACCGUACUCCCCAGGCGGAAUGCUUAAAGCGUUAGCGACGGCACCCGGGGACUUUAUAACCCCAGACACCAAGCAUUCAUCGUUUAAGGCCAGGACUAC